UUUUGUACACACUAAUUGCAUCCAAGUUACCUUCUUGAAUGAAGAUACUAAAUUUUAUAACAAUCUUACUGCUACUUUAAAAAUGAGUCAUAUAUGUUGCUCUUGGAAUAUGCUACUAUAAAAUAAUGGUUUUAUACAUCAGAGGUCGCACCUCACGGAAGUAUAAUUUACAUAUCACAAUAUUAUUGUCAUGUCAACCUUAAACAAUAUAUUUGAUUGUAGCUUUUUUACAUAGUUUAAUUCCUUUCUUUUCCCAAUAACAUAUCUUGUCUCAUUUCAGUUCCAAAAUUCUCCAGUGAAAAUCACUAUUACACAAAUAUAACCAAGUCAAAUGUUUCAAUUGGUACCGAUAACACCCAACAGAAUAACCAAACAAAGGACGAGGUAUAUUUGUUUAUCAAAGUUUUGAUUUGGUAUGCACAAAUGAGUUUUUUCGUGUUUCUUAAGCAUAAAUGGUGGUAGAAUAAACUCAUCAUAGAUACCAUGAUUAACUUUGGUAUUUACGCCAGACACGCGUUUCGUCUACAAAAGACUAAUCAGUGACGCUCGAAUCCCAAAAGUUUAAAAAGCCAAAUGAAUUACGAAGUUGAAGAACAUUGAGGACCACAAUUCCUAAAAGUUAUGCUAAACACAGCUAAGGUAAUAUAUUUCUGAGGUAGAAGUUAAACUAAUACUUGUGUUCAUUAUUUACUGAAUACUGGGUACUAAUUUUCGUUGAUUGAGGAAAUCGUGUAAUUUUCGUGUAUAUAAUAUCGUGAUUUUGCAAAAUCUGCAUACAAACCCAUAGAUAUUUGAUAUUCGUUGGAUAUUUCAAUUCGCGGUUAAACUGUACCUACGAAUAUUGCUAUCCAACGAAAAAUAAUGAAAAUGAAAUAACAAAAAUAACAAAAAUACCAAACUCCGAGGAAAAUUCAAUAUGGAAAGUCCGUAAUCUAAUGGCAAAAUCAUAAGCUCAUAAACAUCAAACGAAUGGACAUCAACUGCCAUAUACCGGACUUCGUCCAGGCAUUUUCAUAUACAGAAAAUUGUUUUUCUACGGCCCAUUUAUGGGCAUCAUGUUUUUUGGUCUGUUUGUCCGUUCGUCCGUUCGUCCGUCUGUUCAUUUGUCCGUCUGUCCUGCUUCAGGUUAAAGUUUUGGGUCGAGGAAGUUUUUGAUGACGUUGAAGUCCAAUCAACUUGAAACUUAGUACACAUGUUCCCUAUGAAUGACCUUUCUCCUUUUAAUGCCAAAUAAGAGUUUUUACACCAUUUUCACGAUCCACUGAACAUAGAAAAAUAAAGUGCGGAUGGGGCAUCCGUGUACUAGGGACACAUUCUUGUUUAUAGCUAUCGUAAUAUCUCACUUGUAUGACAAUGAAAGCCACAUGUUAUUCCAUUAUAUUGACAUCAAUGUAGGAAACAAACAGAUAUAAUAGGUGAAAAUGUAAAAAAUAAGGGUACAACAGUCAACAUUGCAAUCUUUUCGUUUCUUAAUAACUAUAAAAACAAGACUUUUUUAAGUUUUAUGAAUUGUUUUCUUAAUUUUAAACUCAUUUCCAAAUAUGAUUUUAUUCAAAUAGUUGUAUCUCGCACCAAUAACAAUAAUGCUAAUAUAUUUGUCAUCGAUUGGUCGGGUGUUGGUGAUAUGUUGAUCUUGAUUUUUGACUUUGACUACCGUUUCAGUGUCUCGACGUAUGUCUGUUCGUUUUUGUAUUUUGAAAAACACUACAUGGCAGGAAAUCAGUACAGACAAACGCAAAAACACCCAGCACAAAGAAACGCAUAAAAGGUUAAUAUGAUAUAAGUAGUGCAUUACAUCAUGUUGACCGUAUAAUAACAACGAACACCUCCCGUGAAUUUAUGACAGCACACCAGGAAACCACAAAUGAUAUAUAAACAGUGCGUCACAUGAAUUACGUUUGUGCAGUUUAUAUCAUCACAGUUAAAUUUCAAAAAAUAACAAGAAUGUGUCCUAAGUACACGGAUGCCCCACUUGCACUAUCAUUUUCCAUGUUCAAUGGACCCUGAAAUUGGGUAAAAAAUGAAAUUUGGCAUUAAAAUCAUACCAUAUAGGGAACAUGUGUACUAAGUUUCAAGUUGUUUGGUCUUCAACUUCAUAAAAAACUACCUUGACCAAAAACUUUUACCUUAAACUCCCGUUUUAUUUUCUAUGUUCAGUGGACCGUGAAAUUGGGGGUCAAAAGUCUAAUAUGGCUUUAAAGUUAAAAGAGAUCAUACCAUAAGCAACAUGUGUACUAAGUUUCAAGUUGAUUGGACAUGUUCAUCAAAAACUACCUUGACCAAAAUGUUUAACCUGAAGUGGGGCGAACGGACGCACGGAUGGCCGAACGAACGAACGAACGGACGAACGGAGGCACAGACCAGAAAAUAUAAUGCCCCUCUACUAUCGUAGGUGGGGCAUAAUUAAUUGAUUUGACUAAUUCGUAGAAAAGUACAGGAAUUUUAGAUAGAAAAUGAGUUUGAAAUAAUGUGUUUUAUAUAUUUUCUAACCAUGACAAGAUGUCAAAAUAAAAUUGUGUUUGUAAUAUUGUUAUCAUUUGUACUUUCCAACAUAUAUCAAUUUUCUUUUAGUAGCUCAUAGACACUUGAAUGUCGUUGUCCUCCUUUGAAUAUAACAGUAGAUUCAACAGCGGUGACCACAAUGCAAUCAUGUUUUCUAUUGAUGCUGCAUUUCUAGGAGCACACAACAAAUAGUUGAAUUUAUUCUGUACUUAUUACGUAAUAUAUAACAUGUAGCCUUUAUAUACAUCUGGGAAUCAAGAAAUUUUCUGGGAAUGAUUUUUUUUUUAACAUAUCAAUUUGAACUCAAAAGUGCCUGUCAUAAAAUAUAGGUAGACCAACAUCACAAUUGUUCUGCAACAGACACG
rnacentral:lncRNA from 1 species